UGUAUUGUACGUGUUUGAUUUUAAUUUUUUUCUCAAACAAUUCAAUACCACCUAAUUGGAACGAGACCCAUGACAUUUAAAUUUUUAGCAAUAUAAUAUUUGAAUGUCAACUAAUUGGAUUACCUGUGAAUCAAAAACCUAGUUAUCAGAAAAGGAUUAUUAAGUUGCUACCAAUUAUGUCGGUUCUAAGACCGGAUACCAAGUUUUCAAGAAAAAAAAAGUUGCUACCAAUUCUACCGAUAAGAACCAAAGAAAUAAGUUGACCAAAUUGAAAUGUAAAACACUUAAGAAUUUAAAU
rnacentral:lncRNA from 1 species